rnacentral:rRNA from 1 species
AUUGAACGCUGGCGGCAUGCCUUACACAUGCAAGUCGAACGGCAGCGCGGGGCAACCUGGCGGCGAGUGGCGAACGGGUGAGUAACAUAUCGGAACAUACCCUAGAGUGGGGGAUAACGUAGCGAAAGUUACGCUAAUACCGCAUACGCACUAAGGUGGAAAGUGGGGGAUCUUCGGACCUCAUGCUCAUGGAGUGGUCGAUAUCUGAUUAGCUAGUUGGUGAGGUAAAGGCUCACCAAGGCGACGAUCAGUAGCUGGUUUGAGAGAACGACCAGCCACACUGGAACUGAGACACGGUCCAGACUCCUACGGGAGGCAGCAGUGGGGGAAUUUUUGGGACAAUAGGGGGCAAACCCUGAUCCAGCAAUGCCGCGUGAGUGAG